rfam:Otolemur garnettii contig113380, whole genome shotgun sequence.
AUGCCCUUUUAAAGUUGACACUGUGUUUUAAAAGGUUAACACAGACGGGUAAAGUACUAAUUCAGAAGAGAUUUUAAAACUCUCUGUAGCCUAAGUCACAGCU